GACGAACGCUGGCGGCGUGCUUAACACAUGCAAGUCGAACGGAAAGGCCCUGCUUUUGUGGGGUGCUCGAGUGGCGAACGGGUGAGUAACACGUGAGUAACCUGCCCUUGACUUUGGGAUAACUUCAGGAAACUGGGGCUAAUACCGGAUAGGAGCUCCUGCUGCAUGGUGGGGGUUGGAAAGUUUCGGCGGUUGGGGUUGGACUCGCGGCUUAUCAGCUUGUUGGUGGGGUAGUGGCUUACCAAGGCUUUGACGGGUAGCCGGCCUGAGAGGGUGACCGGCCACAUUGGGACUGAGAUACGGCCCAGACUCCUACGGGAGGCAGCAGUGGGGAAUAUUGCACAAUGGGCGGAAGCCUGAUGCAGCAACGCCGCGUGCGGGAUGACGGCCUUCGGGUGGUAAACCGCUUUCGCCUGUGACGAAGCGUGAGGGACGGUAAUGGGUAAAGAAGCACCGGCUAACUACGU
rnacentral:rRNA from 1 species